GGGAUCAGGGGGGCGCCACCCCCCCGGCUGGGCCCGGCCGCCGCCGUUCGCCUACCCUGUGAUGAACCUCGGGGAGCAGGCGGGGGAUGGCGCCGGCGGGGUACAGCCGGGGUGGGGACGCUGAUAAGUUACGGAGGGGAAGGGGGGAAAGGUCGCAACCAGGCCACACAAUCCAGACACCCAUAGAUCAGCCACACGCUCUAGACAUGGGA